UACGAAGGGGGCGAGCGUUGUUCGGAUUUACUGGGCGUAAAGGGCGCGCAGGCGGUCAUUUUUGUCGAGUGUGAAAGCCCCGGGCUUAACCUGGGAACUGCGCUCGAAACGGGAUGACUAGAGAUCGGGAGAGGAGAGUGGAAUUCCCAGUGUAGAGGUGAAAUUCGUAGAUAUCAGGAGGGACACCGGUGGCGAAGGCGGGACUCUGGGCCGAUACUGACGCUGAGGAGCGAAAGCGUGGGGAGCGAACAGG
rnacentral:rRNA from 1 species